AACAUCGUUGGCACCGUCCUCUGGGGGACUUAGCCGCCCGACCCCCACCCGAGCCAAUUCUUUCCCAGCCUGCUGUUCUUUUGCUCUCGCCUCCUCUCUCCUCCCUCCCUUGUCCUUCACCUCCCCCCUCAAAUUCACUCUAUUUGGGAGCUUUUUUCGCCGGAUUUUUUUGGGAAAUCGAAGAGCAAGAAUAUAGGAUGUUUAAGAAGGACAAACAGGGAUACUGUGCCCGUCAGCUGCCACCUCCUGAUGCUCCCCGUCCAAUGUGUUGGUGUGGCGACGAAUGUGUGUUUCAAAGGAGUGAUGAUUGGGACACAUACAACCGCAUAUUUUGGAUGUGUCGGAACUACGCCUAUAGCCCAGAGAAGCCAAAGCCACCGCAGCCAAAACCAAAAGGGAAGAAGGCAAAGGCGAAGAAACAUAUUGAGGAACUGAAGUCGCCCCUCCGUUGUGUGAUUUCUGGAAUGGAUUGAUAAAGAGAUGGAUGAGGGCGACAUUCACAUGGUACAGUCCUGGCAUGAGUGGGAGUGUGAACGCAUGGAGCGUAGGUUGGCGAUGAGGCGACAAGAGAAGCUUGAGAAGGAGAGACGGGAUGAGCUUGAGCUUAGAGCGUUGGCGAGGGAGCGUGAAGAGAAGGAGGCACGUGCGGAGGAGCGUGCUAGGAAGAUUGCGAGAGCGAAGCGAGCCAAGGAGGCUAGGGAAGCAGCCGCAAGCAAGGGGAAGUACCCCCGAUGCACCCAGUAAAUGGUUGCAAGCUAUAGGGAGUGUAACAAGCUCCGGAUGUUUCGUUCCGCAUAAAACUAUGGGUUGCAAUAAUACUACCAUGUAACCCCUCGGUAACGAUUACCGGAGGUUGUUAACAUGAAUUAUCGUAGACUUGUAGUUGAUUCUGUUAUAAUUAUAAGACGAUAUUUGAUGAAAAUUAGCUAUUUAGUAUGUUACUGAUUCAAA